CUAAAGUAGUAAUAGUUAUGUUCUUGAAACUUAAAAAAUUUGGCGGUAUUUUAGUCUAUUCAGAGGAACCUGUCCUAUAAUCGAUAAUCCACGUUGGACCUUACUUAAAUUUGUUUAUCAGUUUGUAUACCGUCGUUAUAAGAGUAUUUUAUUAGAAUAAUAAUUUUCUAGAAUUUUUAUAAAAAUUUAUAUCAGAUCAAGGUGCAGCUUAUGUUAAUAGAGAUGGGUUACAAUAAAAAUAUUUACCGAUUAGUUUUUGAAAUAAGAUAUAAAGGUGGUUGAAUGUAAAUUAUAAAGAUAAUAGUUUGAUUUUAGCU
rnacentral:rRNA from 1 species